rnacentral:rRNA from 1 species
AACAGGAUUAGAUACCCUGGUAGUCCACGCCCUAAACGAUGUCAACUAGCUGUUGGGGCCUUCGGGCCUUGGUAGCGCAGCUAACGCGUGAAGUUGACCGCCUGGGGAGUACGGUCGCAAGAUUAAAACUCAAAGGAAUUGACGGGGACCCGCACAAGCGGUGGAUGAUGUGGAUUAAUUCGAUGCAACGCGAAAAACCUUACCUACCCUUGUCAUGUCUGGAAUUCCGAAGAGAUUUGGAAGUGCUCGCAAGAGAACCGGAACACAGGUGCUGCAUGGCUGUCGUCAGCUCGUGUCGUGAGAUGUUGGGUUGAGUCCCGCAACGAGCGCAACCCUUGUCAUUAGUUGCUACGAAAGGGCACUCUAAUGAGACUGCCGGUGACAAACCGGAGGAAGGUGGGGAUGACGUCAAGUCCUCAUGGCCCUUAUGGGUAGGGCUUCACACGUCAUACAAUGGUCGGGACAGAGGGUCGCCAACCCGCGAGGGGGAGCCAAUCCCAGAAACCCGAUCGUAGUCCGGAUCGCAGUCUGCAACUCGACUGCGUGAAGUCGGAAUCGCUAGUAAUCGCGGAUCAGCAUGUCGCGGUGAAUACGUUCCCGGGUCUUGUACACACCGCCCGUCACACCAUGGGAGUGGGUUUUACCAGAAGUAGUUAGCCUAACCGCAAGGGGGGCGAUUACCACGGUAGGAUUCAUGACUGGGGUGAAGUCGUAACAAGGUAACC